rnacentral:rRNA from 1 species
GAUGGACGCUAGCGGCAGGCCUAACACAUGCAAGUCGAGGGAGAGGUUACCUUCGGGUAACCAAAACCGGCGCACGGGUGCGUAACGCGUAUACAAUCUGCCUUUCACAUAGGGAUAGCCCGAAGAAAUUUGGAUUAAUACCUAAUGGUAUAUAAGAGCGGCAUCGUUUUUAUAUUAAAGCUACGGUGGUGAAAGAUGAGUAUGCGUUCUAUUAGCUAGUUGGAGAGGUAACGGCUCCCCAAGGCGACGAUAGAUAGGGGUUCUGAGAGGGAUGUCCCCCACACUGGUACUGAGAUACGGACCAGACUCCUACGGGAGGCAGCAGUGAGGAAUAUUGGACAAUGGUCGGAAGACUGAUCCAGCCAUGCCGCGUGCAGGAUGAAGGUCCUAUGGAUUGUAAACUGCUUUUGUAAGGGAAGAAUAAGGAGUACGUGUACUUUGAUGACGGUACCUUACGAAUAAGCAUCGGCUAACUCCGUG